UACGUAGGGUGCGAGCGUUGUCCGGAAUUACUGGGCGUAAAGAGCUCGUAGGUGGUUUGUCGCGUUGUUCGUGAAAACUCACAGCUUAACUGUGGGCGUGCGGGCGAUACGGGCAGACUGGAGUACUGCAGGGGAGACUGGAAUUCCUGGUGUAGCGGUGGAAGUGCGCAGAUAUCAGGAGGAACACCGGUGGCGAAGGCGGGUCUCUGGGCAGUAACUGACGCUGAGGAGCGAAAGCGUGGGGAGCGAACAGG
rnacentral:rRNA from 1 species